GUUCAGCUGACGAGUCACAAAUAAGGCAAAACGCGCGUCCUGAAU
rfam:Schistosoma curassoni strain Dakar, Senegal genome assembly, scaffold: SCTD_scaffold0006172